rnacentral:rRNA from 1 species
UACGGAAGGCAGCAGUGGGGAAUAUUGCACAAUGGGCGAAAGCCUGAUGCAGCUAUGCCGCGUGUAUGAAGAAGGCCUUAGGGUUGUAAAGUACUUUCAUCGGGGAGGAAAAACAAAACUAAUAAUUUUAUUUCUUGACGUUACCCGAAAAAGAAGCACCGGCUAACUCCGUGCCAGCAGCCGCGGUAAUACGGAGGGUGCUAGCGUUAAUCAGAAUUACUGGGCGUAAAGAGCACGUAGGUGGUUUUUUUAAGUCAGAUGUGAAAUCCCUGGGCUUAACCUAGGAACUGCAUUUUGAAACUGAAAUACUAGAGUAUCGUAGAGGGAGGUAGAAUUCUAGGUGUAGCGGUGAAAUGCGUAGAUAUCUGGAGGAAUACCUGUGGCGAAAGCGGCCUCCUAAACGAAUACUGACACUGAGGUGCGAAAGCGUGGGGAGCAAACAGGGAUUAGAACC